GUGCCAGCAGCCGCGGUAAAACGUAGGAGGCAAGCGUUAUCCGGAGUAACUGGGCGUAAAGGGCGAGUAGGUGGUUUUGUAAGUUGGUUAUGAAAGCUCCUGGCUAAACUGGGAGAGGUUGACCAAGACUGCAAGACUUGAGUGGAGAAGAGGUAAACGGAAUUCCGCGUGUAGUGGUGAAAUGCGUAGAGAUGCGGAAGAACACCAGUGGCGAAGGCGGUUUACUGGUCUCCAACUGACACUGAACCGCGAAAGCAUGGGUAGCGAACGGGAUUAGAAACCCCCGUAGUCC
rnacentral:rRNA from 1 species